UCUAGAACGCCAACGACGUGCGUGCGCAAGCGCGCCCAGCCAUUUUGCAAGUGAAAUUAAUGGUUUUUAAGUAUGUCUUUAUAGUAACACCUGCUUGAUUCAGUCUCUUGAACGAUCGUCCUUACAAAGGCUGACAUUUAAGACGGCUCCUGAGUUCUAUGACUGGAGCUUUGUAGCCACUGUGAAGUAGGUUAGAGUUGCCACUACGUUCAUGCCGACCGCUGUUUUUUCACGUUGGCGUGCAGGGCACAGUCUGUGAAGCAGGGCUUCAUAUAAACUGGUCUUUUUGCAGUAUUGGCACACGAGCAGUAAGCAGCAGCGUGUGUUGGGUUGAACCCACAGACAAACCGUUGCUUUCCAGUACUGUAACGAGCCUGGGAGAUCUUUCCGUGCACACGCUCCCUUCUCUUGCCAUUAAGCUCCUCUUGCCAUAAAGCUUGCAACAGACCGCAGUUGCCCAUUCAGCCCCAACCACAAACUAUGGUUUGUGGGCAAGAAUCGAGCUCUAAUUUAGGGUUCGAGAACAACGAGAAACUGUGGUUUGUCGUAAACCCGGAAGAUGUUAUUUUCAGAGUCGUGCAUGAGGGAGAGGCGACUUAAGGACUUCUGAGGCUUGUUUUCGUCUGAAUGCAGCCAAAGAGUUAGUUCCGCAUCAUUUGAGUUCAAAAGUUCUACCUGGGGAAACGUUUGGCAACAAACACGGCCCCCGCUUCCAGCCCGACAGGUUCUUGCUUCAGGUUAAAUGUUGUGACUCUGCCAUUUUAUGUGUAUUGAACAAAAUUGCACAGAGCAAAAGUGUCAGGUCGCAACUCGAGCAUUUUUAGUAGAGAUGAGUUGCAUAUAUUUUUUAUAAACACUUGAUACUUGGCAGUGCCUUCGUAUUGUACAUAACAUUGUCUCUGCGGAAAAGGUUUCUGAUCUCCUGCUUUACUUCAAAGUAAAUUCCUAUGAAAUCGCCGGGACUCUCUGCCAAGUCAUUGACUUGGGCAUCGAAGCAAGAGUCGUCGUGCUACACGGCCAAGGACAGUCCGGGGCAAGAUCACGUUGCAUCUUAACGUGCAAACAUAAUCGGUCUUUUAAAUUUCGAUUGUGCUCACCUGCGUGCUAAAAGAAACCCUCCUUGAUUUUAAAAUGAUUUUGGAAAACAAAUUCACUCUUCACUUAUAAAAACAGUUGCAACAAAAUGAGGACUAUAGUUCCACUGCAUCAAUAAAUGAAAACGUCCAGUGCGUGAAAUAAUAACAACCUGUGUCAGUUCACAGGGCUGGGAUGAUUUGUUCUGAAAAACCAAAGACUGCCAGGGUCACACAGCCCCUUUAAUACCACAAGUUGCUCCUUUUUUGGCCCUGAUUUACAAAAUACUUGUCAGCUUUUACAGUGUGUCCCCGGAUGCAGGUUGCCACCUGUCAAGGCUUUGACCAUCCCUAUUUUCUGUGGCCUAACCAACCAUGGUUUGGCAAGCCUUGGUGGUUAACCCACAGAUUGUGGCCGGUGUGCCCCAGACUCUACAAACCAACCGCUCUGAUUGACAGUGUUUCUGCUGUUUGCCACCACUGCCCUAUAGGUUGGGUUCCCAUGUUUAAAACAAAUUAGGGCAGCAGCCCCAUUCCUGGAUACUUCUGUACCCAAAUCUCAUUGAAAUCAUUACAAUUUAACCAGGCUUGGGAAACCCUGAGUCUCAAACAUAUGGUGCUAUACUGCUUUGACCAAAGCAUAGGAGUGGCUUGUACUAACUGCAGUGUCUAGAAAAGGGGAGAGGAUCCACCUAGCGCUGCCACAGCACAACUUCCAUUCAUUCCAGCGUGUGCGUGGCUUGUGCGUGGGGCUCCCCCUCAUCCUGUUUUGUCAACCGCCGUUGCGUAACAGCACUCCCAGAUGGCUGAUCGCAGUGCCUAAUACUAUUUAAAAGUCGUCAAAGCGGUCAGUAAAUAUUUCUCUCCGUUUUGUUGGGCAGGGGUUGUCAGCGAUCAUGUCUGAUCUGCUGUUGGUAUCACGACUGCUAAUAAUAGCCCAAUAUCACAUUUGCAGUUGAAAUUAAUGGAAGGUACUUGUUCAGCUAAGCUUUGUCGUCCUCUGGACUAGCCAUGGUUGUCUAAUAAUUUAACAGCCCUCCAUAGGGAUUCAAAGCUUGCACGCAGGAUUUCAGGCUCUUUAGGAGUAUUAUAGAGAAACAGGCAUCCUUCAUUCUAGUUGCUAGAUCCACAAUAAACGGAGCUAAAAACAUGGUUAGCCAUAAAACUAUCCUUCCAAGUUAGGCAGGAGGAAUAUUCAAAUAGUGGACAUGCUUUAACAAUUCCUGGCUCUGGGAAUGCAAUCUUUAUUUGAUCCGUGCAAAACAGAGGCUUCCAAACUGUUGGAAAGAGGCAAGGUAAUUUUUCUGACUUUUGAACAUGUGCUGAGGAAGGCAUUAAGGGCAUGUAUGACGACGUAACCCUGCAUAUGAUCCUGGCUCAGGAACAGAACCUAUACAAAGCUGGGCUAGUUUCUCAAGAGGUGGUGUAUUUCGUAGCCUAACGUUUCAUGAGGAAAAUUGGGGGGGGGGGGGUUAAUUUAAAAUGUGCUGUUACCCUGUAAGAUAAUUAACCUUGUAUGUUGUCGAUCCUCUUAAAUCCUGCUUUUAAGAUCAUGAAUUUCAAUGUUUCCAAUACUAUACUACCAAAUAAUGCGCUUACACACUUACUACUGUUUACAAAUGUUAUCCUCUCUGUUUUUGAUACAAAUAAUACUAUUUGUAAGCUGUCGAGUAUAGAUUCUGUUCUGUUGAAGAAACGGCAAUGCAUCAGAAUGCCAGCACUGUAUGCUGUUAUUGUAAUAAAAAUAUCCAAAUGA